rnacentral:misc_RNA from 1 species
AAGGGUUGGAGCUGGACUAAUUGGGAAAAUGGGACACUGAAGCUAUGUGAUGCUCAUGCUGAAUGGGAAAGGGGGUGGGAGAAGAUUUUUGACGAGGUAGCAGGGAAGAAACGCGCCGCCGUGAGGAAGCGGAUUUCGGGUCUGAAAUUGAAGCAAUGUGUGAAUGAUUUUAAUGAAAUGAACAGGCGGAGUUCUAAGUGGGAGUCUCCUCCGCCAGAGGAGAUAUGUAAGUUGGGCGUUGGACCGAAAUAAGAGGGUGGGGGUGAGUUGUUAGGGGGAGCCUGUGGAAAGAGAGAAACCAAGAGCGUAUUUUUGGGUUUAUGGUAGGUGUUUUUUCUUCAUGCAAGUAGGUAGAUUGGAUCAUUCUCCUAUAAAUUUUUUUUUUUUUAAAAAAAAAAAA